CGCCUGGAACGGUGAGUGGAUGAAAGCUCCGGCGGCAUAGGAUGGGCCUGCGGCGUAUCAGGUUGUAGGGGGUGUAACGUACCCUCUAGCCCUCUACGCGUACGGGUGUUGGGAGACAUAGCCCGGAGAUGGAUUCUGAGACACGAAUCCAGACCCUACGGGGUGCAGCAGGCGCGAAAACUUGGCAAUGCGAGAAAUCGUGACCAGGGAACUCCAAGUGCAUCGGGUAAGACCGGUGCUUUUCUUGACUCUAAAUAGGUCUUGGAAUAAGGGGUGGGUAAGGACGGUGCCAGCCGCCGCGGUAAUACCGGCGCCUCAAGUGGUAGUCGCUUUUAUUGGGCCUAAAACGUCCGUAGCCGGUCUGAUACAUUCGUGGGUAAAUCAACCAGCUUAACUGGUUGAAUUCUGCGAGGACGGUCAGACUUGGGACCGGGAGAGGUGUGGGGUACGCUCAGGGUAGGGGUAAAAUCCUGUCAUCCUGAGCGGACCACCUGUUGCGAAGGCGCCACACUAGAACGGAUCCGACGGUCAGGGACGAAGCCUAGGGGCACGAACCGGAUUAGAUACCCGGGUAGUCCUAGGUGUAAACGCUGUGGACUUGAUGUUGGGGGUGCUCCGAGCACUCUCAGUGUCGAAGCGAAGGUGAUAAGUCCACUGCCUGGGAAGUACGGUCGCAAGGCUGAAACUUAAAGGAAUUGGCGGGGGAGCACCGCAACCUGAGGAUUGUGCGGUUUAAUUGGACUCAACGCCGGGA
rnacentral:rRNA from 1 species